rnacentral:rRNA from 1 species
UACGGAGGGGGCUAGCGUUGCUCGGAAUCACUGGGCGUAAAGAGCUCGUAGGCGGUGUGUCGCGUCGGUCGUGAAAACUUGGGGCUUAACCCUGAGCUUGCGGUCGAUACGGGCAUCACUGGAGUUCGGCAGGGGAGACUGGAAUUCCUGGUGUAGCGGUGAAAUGCGCAGAUAUCAGGAGGAACACCGGUGGCGAAGGCGGGUCUCUGGGGCCGAUACUGACGCUGAGGAGCGAAAGCGUGGGGAUCAAACAGG